rnacentral:rRNA from 1 species
CCUACGGGAGGCAGCAGUGGGGAAUAUUGCGCAAUGGGCGAAAGCCUGACGCAGCGACGCCGCGUGAGGGAUGAAGGUCCUCGGAUCGUAAACCUCCGUUAGCAGGGAAGAACGGUCACUGUGCUAAUCAGCAGUGAAUUGACGGUACCUGCAAAGGAAGCACCGGCUCACUCCGUGCCAGCAGCCGCGGCAAUACGGAGGGUGCGAGCGUUAAUCGGAAUUACUGGGCGUAAAGCGCUCGUAGGCGGUAUGUCAAGUCAAGGGUGAAAUCCCCGCGCUCAACGUGGGAACUGCCUUUGAAACUGGCAGACUGGAGUGUGUGAGAGGAUAGUGGAAUUCCAGGUGUAGGAGUGAAAUCCGUAGAUAUCUGGAAGAACAUCAGUGGCGAAGGCGACUAUCUGGCACAUAACUGACGCUGAGGAGCGAAAGCGUGGGUAGCAAACAGGAUUAGAUACCCCGGUAGUC